rnacentral:rRNA from 1 species
CCUACGGGAGGCAGCAGUGAGGAAUAUUGGUCAAUGGGCGCGAGCCUGAACCAGCCAAGUCGCGUGAGGGAAGACGGUCCUAUGGAUUGUAAACCUCUUUUGUCGGGGAGCAAAAGACGCCACGCGUGGCGUUCCGCGCGUACCCGAAGAAACAGCAUCGGCAAACUCCGUGCCAGCAGCGGCGGUAAUACGGAGGAUGCGAGCGUUAUCCGGUUUUAUUGGGUUAAAAGAGUGCGCAGGCGGAAGAUCAAGUCAGCGGUAAAAUUGAGAGGCUCAACCUCUUCGGGCCGUUGAAACUGGUUUGCUUGAGUGGGGGAGAAGUAUGCGGAAUGCGUGGUGUAGCGGUGAAAUGCAUAGAUAUCACGCAGAACUCCGAUUGCGAAGGCAGCAUACCGGCGCCCUACUGACGCUGAGGCACGAAAGCGUGGGUAUCGAACAGGAUUAGAUACCCGGGUAGUC